UACAGAGGUCUCAAGCGUUGUUCGGAUUCAUUGGGCGUAAAGGGCGCGUAGGCGGCGGGGUAAGUCUGGUGUGAAAUCUCGGAGCUCAACUCCGAAAUUGCACUGGAUACUGCUCUGCUUGAGGGUUGGAGAGGAGAUCGGAAUUCACGGUGUAGCAGUGAAAUGCGUAGAUAUCGUGAGGAAGACCAGUGGCGAAGGCGGA
rnacentral:rRNA from 1 species